CGUAGGCGGCCUGAUAAGUCAGAUGUGAAAGUCCACGGCUCAACUGUGGAAGUGCAUUUGAAACUGUCAGACUUGAGUAUCGGAGGGGAGUGUGGAAUUCCCGGUGUAGAGGUGAAAUUCGUAGAGAUCGGGAGGAACACCGGUGGCGAAGGCGACACUCUGGACGAAUACUGACGCUGAGGCGCGAAAGCGUGGGGAGCAAACA
rnacentral:rRNA from 1 species